UAGCAUAUCAAUAAGCGGAGGAAAAGAAACCAACAGGGAUUGCCAUAGUAACGGCGAGUGAAGCGGCAACAGCUCAAAUUUGAAAUCUGGCUCUUUCAGGGUCCGAGUUGUAAUUUGUAGAGGGUGCUUUGGCGUUGGCUGUGGUCUAAGUUCCUUGGAACAGGACGUCGCAGAGGGUGAGAAUCCCGUAUGUGGCCGCCAGUCUUCGCCGUGUAAAGCCCCUUCGACGAGUCGAGUUGUUUGGGAAUGCAGCUCUAAAUGGGAGGUAAAUUUCUUCUAAAGCUAAAUAUUGGCCAGAGACCGAUAGCGCACAAGUAGAGUGAUCGAAAGAUGAAAAGCACUUUGGAAAGAGAGUCAAAAAGCACGUGAAAUUGUUGAAAGGGAAGCGCUUGCAGCCAGACUUGCUUGCAGUUGUUUAGCUAGGCUUUUGCCUGGUGUACUCUUCUGUAUGCAGGCCAGCAUCAGUCCGGGCGGUUGGAUAAAGGCCUAUUAAACGUACCUCUCUCGGGAGGACUUAUAGGGUAGGUGCCAUGCAACCAGCCUGGAUUGAGGUCCGCGCAUCUGCUAGGAUGCUGGCGUAAUGGCUGUAAGCGGCCCGUCUUGAAACACGGACCAAGGAGUCUAACAUCUAUGCGAGUGUUUGGGUGUCAAGCCCGAACGCGUAAUGAAAGUGAACGGAGGUGGGAACCUUUCGGGGUGCACCAUCGACCGAUCCUGAUGUCUUCGGAUGGAUUUGAGUAAGAGCAUAGCUGUUGGGACCCGAAAGAUGGUGAACUAUGCCUGAAUAGGGUGAAGCCAGAGGAAACUCUGGUGGAGGCUCGCAGCGGUUCUGACGUGCAAAUCGAUCGUCAAAUUUGGGCAUAGGGGCGAAAGACUAAUCGAACUAUCUAGUAGCUGGUUCCUGCCGAGCU
rnacentral:rRNA from 1 species